UACAUGUGGGGCAAGCGUUGUUCGGAAUUACUGGGCAUAAAGGGUGCGUAGGCGGUUUGUUAAGUCACAGGUGAAAGUUUUCGGCCCAACCGGAAAAUUGCCUGUGAUACUGGCGAACUUGAGUGCGUGAGGGGUUGGGGGAACGAGCAGUGUAGCGGUGAAAUGCGUAGAUAUUGCUCGGAAGGCCGGAGCCGAAGGGGCCCAACUGGUGCGCAACUGACGCUGAUGCACGAAAGCGUGGGGAGCAAACAGG
rnacentral:rRNA from 1 species